GAUGGACGGAUGAAAUACAGCCCGCGUGUCUGAAUUUUGAUGCUCUCCUCUCGGCUGAUUGCGGGAUUUGAAGAA
rnacentral:snoRNA from 1 species